CCUACGGGUGGCAGCAGUGGGGGAUAUUGCACAAUGGGGGGAACCCUGAUGCAGCGACGCCGCGUGAGCGAUGAAGUAUUUCGGUAUGUAAAGCUCUAUCAGCAGGGAAGAAAAUGACGGUACCUGACUAAGAAGCCCCGGCUAACUACGUGCCAGCAGCCGCGGUAAUACGUAGGGGGCAAGCGUUAUCCGGAUUUACUGGGUGUAAAGGGAGCGUAGACGGCAGUGCAAGUCUGAAGUGAAAGGCAAGGGCUCAACCUUUGGACUGCUUUGGAAACUGUGCUGCUGGAGUGUCGGAGAGGCAAGUGGAAUUCCUAGUGUAGCGGUGAAAUGCGUAGAUAUCACGAAGAACUCCGAUUGCGAAGGCAGCAUACCGGCUCCAUACUGACGCUGAGGCACGAAAGCGUGGGGAUCGAACAGGAUUAGAUACCCGAGUAGUC
rnacentral:rRNA from 1 species